rnacentral:lncRNA from 1 species
UUCAAAUACUGGAAAACAACGAAAGUAACACACUUUGGGUCUGAAACAGACAUGGUAGAGGAUUUACCAAAUAUAGAAAUGUCAUCUUACAUCUUACUCUCAUAUGCUAAAAGAAAAGAAAUCGAAAAAGGGACUUCCGAUUAUGAGGUGGUCAUUCUCUCGGCAUUCGUCCCAUGGUGAUUAUCAUUUAAAUCAGGACAAAAAUCAUUACUCUUGAAAUUCAUUCUGGGUUUGCAACUUUGAUUUACGGCUGUUGUGACCAAUGCAAAACAUUAGAAAUUAUUGACAACCCUUGCUACAGUUACACAUUCCCAGUUAUGACCUUCGAAACCAACACAAUCCUCAACAAACAUUUGAUUGAACGUACGGUUGAAACAUGAGAACAAUGGCUGUUCUUCUCUAACGUCUGAAUCGUAUUCCAAUUUGAAAUCAAAUUGUUUAUUAAAUUUAAGAA